rnacentral:rRNA from 1 species
UACGGGGGGAGCAAGCGUUGUUCGGAUUUACUGGGCGUAAAGGGCGCGUAGGCGGCCAGCACAAGUCAGUUGUGAAAUCUCCGAGCUUAACUCGGAAAGGUCAACUGAUACUGUGCGGCUAGAGUGCGGAAGGGGCAACUGGAAUUCUUGGUGUAGCGGUGAAAUGCGUAGAUAUCGUGAGGAACACCAGAGGCGAAGGCGGCUACCUGGACAAUUGCUGACGCUCAGGCACGAAAGCGUGGGGAGCAAAAGGG